AACACACAUUUUUCUGAUCACACUUAAAUACUUUUGUAACAGAGUAUUGUUACAGUAUGCUAAAAGAAAGUACUUUUACUUGAGUAAAUGAUCUGAACGCCUCCUCCUCUCAUUAUACCAGAUCGAAAGGCCUCAGUGGGUGAACAUUGCUGCUAUCUAGUGGACAGAAGAGUGAACAACACCUCUUGUAAUAAUUACCCUGCUGAACUCUCAGAAUUAGAUUUUGUUUGUUAGAUUGUGUGCAUCAAAGAUGAUUUAAAAGCACUUCCUUUUCCAUCUGUUUAUUUGCCAGUUCUCCCAUAAGCCACUGCGUGUGUGCCGUUCCCAUGGCAACCAGUCACCACAGUGAUUCAACAGUGAGGAGACACAGGAAAAACAUGACAGAUUUCACGGGAAGGAAGUCUGACUGGAUACUGAGGACAUACUGACAGACAUCGACCUCCUAUCUCUGGUAAACACAGACCCGAGUGCUGCUUCCUUCCUCAAACUGGAUGAGACGUUUCACACGUGGACGACAUGAAGAAGAAAAAACAGAGGACAAAAAAGACCAACAAAAAGAAUAAAGAGCGUGAAAAGGUGUCCUUGGAUGAAACCUGCCGGGCCUUCAGGUCCAACGGGCCGGAGUUUGAGCUCUUCCUGGCGGAGAUGACUCGGUGGUUUUCGGACCGUCAGCAGCAGCUGGACGAACUGUUCAGACACGAGGACGCAGACAGAAGUGGAUCAGUCCACAUGAAGGACUUCGAGCUCGGUCUGAUGAGUCUGAACGUCCCCUGUCGGCACUUUCAGCUCCACGUUCUGACUCAGCUGCUGAAAACCUCCAACAACACCAUCAGUUAUCGAGACCUGAGCAGACGUGUUCAGAGUCUGAGAGCGAGUGAAGGCACAGGGAUCAAUACUCGGAUAUCAGGUGAUCAACAUCAGCUGUUGGACAGGUUCGUCCGUCUGCGUGUCAGACUGAUCCCCUUCGACUUCGCGGCGGCACAUCCGGGAAACUUUGAGGUGGUUUUGUUGACCAGCAGCAGAGUUGUCAGGCUGAUCCGGAUCAUCCAGGACCGGGUCGGGAUCCAGACCUAUAGACUGGAGGUUUUCAGGAGCAGAGUGCCCAGAGAGGAGGCCCGUCUGACCCCGGAGAGCUCCCUGGAGGAGUGUGGCUUCAGAGGGGGACCAGAGGAAACUCCUCCAGAGGACACGGUGUACUACGACUACACACUCCUGUUUACAGACUGUCCCGUUCUGAACUGUGACCACUACUUCAGGUCCACAUCCUGA
rnacentral:lncRNA from 1 species